rnacentral:rRNA from 1 species
GAUGAACGCUGGCGGCAUGCCUAAUACAUGCAAGUCGAACGCUGAAGCACUCUGCUUGCAGAGUGCGGAUGAGUGGCGAACGGGUGAGUAACACGUGGGAAAUCUGCCUAGGAGUGGGGGAUAACAUUCGGAAACGGAUGCUAAUACCGCAUAUCUUCUGGAACCGCAUGGUUCUUGAACGAAAGACGGCUUCGGCUGUCGCUCUUAGAUGAUCCCGCGGCGUAUUAGUUAGUUGGUGGGUAAAGGCCUACCAAGACCAUGAUACGUAGCCGACCUGAGAGGGUGAUCGGCCACACUGGGACUGAGACACGGCCCAGACUCCUACGGGAGGCAGCAGUAGGGAAUCUUCCACAAUGGGUGAAAACCUGAUGGAGCAAUGCCGCGUGAAUGAAGAAGGUCUUCGGAUCGUAAAGUUCUGUUAUUAGAGAAGAACAAGUCAAGGAGUAACUGUCUUGACUUUGACGGUACCUAACCAGAAAGUCACGGCUAAC